rnacentral:rRNA from 1 species
GGGAAUAUUGGUUAAUGUGCGAAAGCGCGAACCAGCAACGCCGCGUGCGCGAUGAAGGCCUUCGGGUCGUAAAGCACUUUUUGCAGGGAAGAGGAAGGACGGUACCUGCAGAAUAAGUCUCGGCUAACUACGUGCCAGCAGCCGCGGUAAAACGUAGGAGACGAGCGUUAUCCGGAUUUACUGGGCGUAAAGCGCGUGCAGGCGGCAUGGCAAGUUGGAUGUGAAAGCUCCCGGCUUAGCUGGGAGAGGUCGUUCAAUACUGCCAGGCUUGAGAGUGGUAGAGGGAAGCGGAAUUCCGGGUGUAGUGGUGAAAUGCGUAGAUAUCCGGAGGAACACCAGUGG